rfam:Candidatus Roizmanbacteria bacterium RIFCSPHIGHO2_01_FTLL_39_8 rifcsphigho2_01_scaffold_7599, whole genome shotgun sequence.
AUUAUACAUCAAGAGUGUCCGAUGUAAUAUCGGACCAGCAACCGAGUCCGCCUUAUUAAGCGAGAUCGCGGUGCUUUAUCCUUCGAGAGGAUAGAUGUGGUCCGAUGUUACAUCGGACAAAAAUACAACACCUC